GAUUCCUCCUGUCAAUGCAGGAGACAUGAGUUUGAUCCCUGAUCCAGGAAGAUCCCACAUGUUGUGGAGCAACUAAGCCUGUGCACCACAGCUACUGAGCCCAGGAGCUGCAACUACUGAGCCCAUGUGACACAACUACUGAAGCCCAUGCACCCUAGAGCCCAUGCUCCACAACAGGAGAAGCCACCCAAGUCAGAAGCCCACACACUGCAACUAGAGAGUGGCCGCCACUUGCUGAAACAAGAAAAAACCCUGAGCACCAAUGAAGACCCAGCACAGCCUAAAUAAAUAAAUAAAUAAAACUACUUUUUAAAAAAGGUGAAUGAGAAAUAAGGACUUCCCUGGUGGUCCAAUGGUUAAGAAUUCACCUGUGUGUGUGUGUGUGUGUGCGUGCGUGCGUGCGCAUGUGUGUGUGUGAGAGGUGGUGGUGCAGGUUAGAUCCCUAGUCAGGGAGCUAAGAAUCCAUAUGGCUUCUGGCCAGAAAACCAAAACACAGAACAGAAGCAAAGUUGUAACGAAUUCACAAAAGACUUUUUAAGAUGGUCCACAUCAAAAAAAAUAUUUUUAAAAAAUUGAAGGAGAAAUAAAGAAUUUCUCAGACAAAUGAAAACUGAGGGAAUUUGUUGCCAGUAGACAUGUGUUGUAAGAAACAUUAAAAGAAGUUCUUUAGUGACAAGGAAAAUAAUACAGGUCAGAAACUCAGAUCUGUAUAAAGAAAGGAAGAACAUCAGAGAAUGAAUAUGUUAAGCUAAAGUAAAAACUUUUUUCUUAUUCUUAAUUGAUCUUACAAUAACAGUUGUUUUCAAAAUAGUAAUAGCAAUAAUGUAUUUGAUUAUGUAUGGGGCUUCCCAGGUUGCUCAGUGGUAAAGAAUCUGCCUGUAAUGCAGGAGAUGCAGUUCAAUCCCUAGGUUGGGAAGAUCCCCUGGAGAAGGAAAUGGCAACUGAAUUCAGUAUUUUGUCUGGAGAAUGCCAUGGACAGAGGAGCCUGGUGGGUUACAGUUCAUGGGGUUGCAAAGAGUCAGACAUGACUGAGUGACUAAACAAUAACCAUUUGAUUAUGUAUGUUUGUGUAUAAGUGAAAUGAACAACAGCAGUAGUACAAGGGACGAGAGAGAGGAUUGGAAUAUUUUGUUACUAUAAGGUAUGUGCACUGCCCAUAGGAUGGUAUAGUAUUAUUUGAAAGUCGACUUGGAUAAUGUAUAUUGUAAAUGUAUAUUGCAAACUCUUGGGCAACUCAAGACUGAAGGAGAACAAAAUCAGAGGACUGACACUAUCUGAUUUUAAGACUUACUAUAAAGCUAAAGCAAUCAAGGCAGUAUGGUAUCGAUGAAAGAAUACACAAAGAGAUCAGUGGAACACAAAAAAGAGCCCUAUAAAUAGACCCACAUAAAUAUACUCAACUGAUCUUUGACAAGGGAGCAAAGGCAAUACAGCAG
ensembl:lncRNA